GAUGAACGCUGGCGGCGUGCCUAAUACAUGCAAGUCGAGCGAACAGACGAGGAGCUUGCUCCUCUGACGUUAGCGGCGGACGGGUGAGUAACACGUGGAUAACCUACCUAUAAGACUGGGAUAACUUCGGGAAACCGGAGCUAAUACCGGAUAAUAUAUUGAACCGCAUGGUUCAAUAGUGAAAGACGGUUUUGCUGUCACUUAUAGAUGGAUCCGCGCCGCAUUAGCUAGUUGGUAAGGUAACGGCUUACCAAGGCAACGAUGCGUAGCCGACCUGAGAGGGUGAUUGGCCACACUGGAACUGAGACACGGUCCAGACUCCUACGGGAGGCAGCAGUAGGGAAUCUUCCGCAAUGGGCGAAAGCCUGACGGAGCAACGCCGCGUGAGUGAUGAAGGUCUUCGGAUCGUAAAACGCUGUUAUUAGGGAAGAACAAAUGUGUAAGUAACGAUGCACGUCUUGACGGUACCGAAGCAGAAAGCCACGGCUAACUACGU
rnacentral:rRNA from 1 species